AGCGUACGCUGGCGGCAGGCUUAACACAUGCAAGUCGAGCGGGUCCUUCGGGGUCAGCGGCGGACGGGUGAGUAACGCGUGGGAACGUGCCUUCUGGUUCGGAAUAACCCUGGGAAACUAGGGCUAAUACCGGAUACGCCCUUUUGGGGGAAGUUUUACUGCCGGAAGAUCGGCCCGCGUCUGAUUAGCUAGUUGGUGGGGUAACGGCCUACCAAGGCGACGAUCAGUAGCUGGGCGGAUAGGAUGAUCAGCCACACUGGGACUGAGACACGGCCCAGACUCCUACGGGAGGCAGCAGUGGGGAAUAUUGGACAAUGGGCGCAAGCCUGAUCCAGCCAUGCCGCGUGAGUGAUGAAGGCCUUAGGGUUGUAAAGCUCUUUUAUCCGGGACGAUAAUGACGGUACCGGAGGAAUAAGCCCCGGCUAACUUCGUGCCAGCCGCCGCCGUAA
rnacentral:rRNA from 1 species